GAGUUUGAUCGUGGCUCAGAUUGAACGCUGGCGGCAGGCCUAACACAUGCAAGUCGAGCGGUAGAGAGAAGCUUGCUUCUCUUGAGAGCGGCGGACGGGUGAGUAAUGCCUAGGAAUCUGCCUGGUAGUGGGGGAUAACGCUCGGAAACGGACGCUAAUACCGCAUACGUCCUACGGGAGAAAGCAGGGGACCUUCGGGCCUUGCGCUAUCAGAUGAGCCUAGGUCGGAUUAGCUAGUUGGUGAGGUAAUGGCUCACCAAGGCGACGAUCCGUAACUGGUCUGAGAGGAUGAUCAGUCACACUGGAACUGAGACACGGUCCAGACUCCUACGGGAGGCAGCAGUGGGGAAUAUUGGACAAUGGGCGAAAGCCUGAUCCAGCCAUGCCGCGUGUGUGAAGAAGGUCUUCGGAUUGUAAAGCACUUUAAGUUGGGAGAAGGGCAGUAAAUUAAUACUUUGCUGUUUUGACGUUACCGACAGAAUAAGCACCGGCUAACUCUGUGCCAGCCGCC
rnacentral:rRNA from 1 species